AGCGAACGCUGGCGGCAGGCUUAACACAUGCAAGUCGAGCGGGCAUUUUCGGAUGUCAGCGGCAGACGGGUGAGUAACAUGUGGUAACGUACCCUUCGGUUCGGCACAACUCUGGGAAACUGGAGCUAAUACCGGAUACGCCCUUCUGGGGAAACGUUUACUGCCGAAGGAUCGGCCCGCGUCUGAUUAGCUAGUUGGUGGGGUAACGGCCUACCAAGGCGACGAUCAGUAGCUGGUCUGAUAGGAGGAUCAGCCACACUGGGACUGAGACACGGCCCAAGCUCCUAAGGGAAGCAGGAAGGGGGAAUAGUGGGCAAUGGACGCAAGCCUAGUCCAGCCAUGGCGCGUGAGUGAUGAAGGGAUUAGGGUUGUAAAGCUCUUUUGUCCGGGACGAUAAUAACGGUACCGGAAAAAUAAGCCCCGGCUAACUUCGUG
rnacentral:rRNA from 1 species